AUGCGCAGUUAUGAUGUUCACUCGGAUGAGGCGACGUUCGCUAGUAUUCUCAAAGCUUGUUCUGAGAUGACAGCUCUCAACGAUGGGAAAGAGAUACAUGGACUCAUCAUUAAAUCUGGAUUUAAUUCUUAUGAAACUUCAACUAGUGCCCUCAUAGACAUGUACUCCAAGUGUGGGGAUAUCACUUCAUCCUUUGAAGCCUUCAAACAGUUGGAAAACAAGCAAGGCAUCAUGUUAUGGAACUCCAUGAUUGUUGGAUUUGCAAAGAAUGGUUAUGCUGAUGAGGUACUUCUGCUUUUUCAGAAAAUGCAGGAGUCACAGAUAAAGCCUGAUGAAGUUACAUUCCUUGGUGUCCUAAUCGCUUGUGCUCAUGCUGGAUUAAUUUCUGUGGGUCGGCAUUACUUCAAUUAUAUGAACAAAGUCUGUGGAUUAGUGCCCAGAGUAGAUCAUUAUGCGUGCUUUAUUGAUCUCCUUGGGCGAGGUGGUCUUCUUGAAGAGGCUGAAGAAGUUAUUAACCAGUUGCCCUUCAGACCUGAUGGUGUGAUCUGGGCGACAUACCUUGCAGCAUGCAGAAUGCACAAGGAUGAAGAAAGGGGGAAAGUUGCAGCAAAAAAACUUGCUGAGUUGGAACCAGAAAACUCGUCUACAUAUGUGUUGCUUUCAAGCUUACAUGCUGCAGCUGGUAAGUUUGGUGAAGCUAAGAUAGCCAGAGAAGCAAUGCGAGAAAAUGGAAUAACAAAAAUUCCGGGAUGUAGUUGGGUCACAGUAGGGAACAAGACAAGCUUAUUUCUUGUACAAGACAAGAAACACCCCGACUAUCUUAGCAUCUAUGAGAAUCUUGAUGAUCUUACUGGAAUGAUGAAGAAAGAUGAUGACGUUGAGGAUUAUGAUAUGCUUACUUCAGCUGAAAUGUUUGGA
rnacentral:rRNA from 1 species